rnacentral:tRNA from 1 species
GCCUGGGUGGCUCAGUCGGUUGAGCGUCUGACUUCAGCUCAGGUCAUGAUCUCGUGGUUUGUGAGUUUGAGCCCCAUGUCGGGCU